rnacentral:rRNA from 1 species
UACGAAGGGGGCUAGCGUUGCUCGGAAUCACUGGGCGUAAAGGGUGCGUAGGCGGGUCUUUAAGUCAGGGGUGAAAUCCUGGAGCUCAACUCCAGAACUGCCUUUGAUACUGAAGAUCUUGAGUUCGGGAGAGGUGAGUGGAACUGCGAGUGUAGAGGUGAAAUUCGUAGAUAUUCGCAAGAACACCAGUGGCGAAGGCGGCUCACUGGCCCGAUACUGACACUCAGGUGCGACAGCGUGGGGAGCAAACAGGGAUUAAGAUACCC